rnacentral:rRNA from 1 species
AUUAGCUAGUUGGUGGGGUAAAGGCCUACCAAGGCGACGAUCAGUAGCCGGACUGAGAGGUUGAACGGCCACAUUGGGACUGAGACACGGCCCAGACUCCUACGGGAGGCAGCAGUAGGGAAUUUUCGUCAAUGGGCGCAAGCCUGAACGAGCAAUGCCGCGUGAACGAGGAAGGUCUUCGGAUCGUAAAGUUCUGUUGAAGGGGAAAAAGAGCGGAGAGAGGAAAUGGUCUCCGAUUGAUAUUACCCUUCGAGGAAGUCACGGCUAACUACGUGCCAGCAGCCGCGGUAAUACGUAGGUGGCGAGCGUUAUCCGGAAUGAUUGGGCGUAAAGGGUGCGUAGGCGGCCUGCUAAGUCUGGAGUGAAAGGUACCGGCUCAACCGGUAUAGGCUCUGGAAACUGGCGGGCUAGAGAGCAGGAGAGGGCGGUGGAACUCCAUGUGUAGCGGUAAAAUGCGUAGAUAUAUGGAAGAACACCAGUGGCGAAGGCGGCCGCCUGGCCUGUUACUGACGCUGAGGCACGAAAGCGUGGGGAGCAAAUAGGAUUAGAUACCCUAGUAGU